GACGAACGCUGGCGGCGUGCUUUAGGCAUGCAAGUCGAACGCGAAAGCCCCUUCGGGGGUGAGUAGAGUGGCGAACGGGUGAGUAACACGUGGGUAACCUGCCCCUCGCAGGGGGAUAACCGGGGUAAACCCCGGCUAAUACCCCGUACGCUUGCUGGGGCGCAUGCUCCGGCAAGGAAAGGUAGCUUCGGCCAUCCGGCGAGGGAGGGGCCCGCGGCCCAUUAGCUAGUUGGUGGGGUAACGGCCCACCAAGGCGACGAUGGGUAGCUGGCCUGAGAGGGUGGUCAGCCACAAUGGGACUGAGACACGGCCCAGACUCCUACGGGAGGCAGCAGCCAGGAAUCGUGCGCAAUGGGCGAAAGACUGACGCAGCAACGCCGCGUGGGCGAUGAAGGCCGUCGGGUGGUAAAGCCCUGUUGUCGGGGACGAAGGGCGAAGGGUUAAUAGCCCCUAGCCUGACGGUACCCGACGAGGAAGCCCCGGCUAACUACGU
rnacentral:rRNA from 1 species